rnacentral:rRNA from 1 species
GGGGAGUGGCAGACGGGUGAGUAACGCGUGGGAACAUACCCUUUCCUGCGGAAUAGCUCCGGGAAACUGGAAUUAAUACCGCAUACGCCCUACGGGGGAAAGAUUUAUCGGGGAAGGAUUGGCCCGCGUUGGAUUAGCUAGUUGGUGGGGUAAAGGCCUACCAAGGCGACGAUCCAUAGCUGGUCUGAGAGGAUGAUCAGCCACAUUGGGACUGAGACACGGCCCAAACUCCUACGGGAGGCAGCAGUGGGGAAUAUUGGACAAUGGGCGCAAGCCUGAUCCAGCCAUGCCGCGUGAGUGAUGAAGGCCUUAGGGUUGUAAAGCUCUUUCACCGAUGAAGAUAAUGACGGUAGUCGGAGAAGAAGCCCCGGCUAACUUCGUGCCAGCAGCCGCGGUAAUACGAAGGGGGCUAGCGUUGUUCGGAAUUACUGGGCGUANAGCGCACGUAGGCGGAUAUUUAAGUCAGGGGUGAAAUCCCGCAGCUCAACUGCGGAACUGCCUUUGAUACUGGGUAUCUUGAGUAUGGAAGAGGUAAGUGGAAUUCCGAGUGUAGAGGUGAAAUUCGNAGAUAUUCGGAGGAACACCAGUGGCGAAGGCGGCUUACUGGUCCAUUACUGACGCUGAGGUGCGA